rnacentral:rRNA from 1 species
GACGAACGCUGGCGGCGUGCCUAAUACAUGCAAGUCGGACGCAGUUGCGAACGGGUGAGUAACGCGUAGGUAACUAUCUCUUAGCGGGGGAUUACUAUUGGAAACGAUAGCUAAUACCGCAUACUAGUAGAUGGACCUGCGUUGUAUUUGCUAGUAGGUGGGGUAAUGGCCUACCUAGGCAACGAUACAUAGCCGAACGGGGAGGGGGAGCGAGCACACUGUGAUUGGAACACGGCCCAGACUCCAACGGGAGGCAGAGGUAGGGAAGAUUAGUAAAUGGGAGGAAGCCUGACCGAGAAACGCCGCGGGAGUGAAGAAGGUGUUCGGAUCGUAAAGCGCUGUUGUUAAGGAUGCGGUACUUAACCAGAAAGGAACGGCUAACUACGUGCCAGCAGCCGCGGUAAUUC